rnacentral:rRNA from 1 species
CCUACGGGUGGCAGCAGUGAGGAAUAUUGGUCAAUGGACGAGAGUCUGAACCAGCCAAGUAGCGUGAAGGAUGACUGCCCUAUGGGUUGUAAACUUCUUUUAUAUGGGAAUAAAAUGUUCUAUGUGUGGGAUUUUGUAUGUACCAUAUGAAUACGGAUCGGCUAACUCCGUGCCAGCAGCCGCGGUAAUACGGAGGAUCCGAGCGUUAUCCGGAUUUAUUGGGUUUAAAGGGAGCGUAGGUGGAUUGUUAAGUCAGUUGUGAAAGUUUGCGGCUCAACCGUAAAAUUGCAGUUGAAACUGGCAGUCUUGAGUACAGGAGAGGUAGGCGGAAUUCGUGGUGUAGCGGUGAAAUGCUUAGAUAUCACGAAGAACUCCGAUUGCGAAGGCAGUUCACUGGACUGCAACUGACACUGAGGCUCGAAAGUGUGGGUAUCAAACAGGAUUAGAUACCCCGGUAGUC